UCUCGACCCCCAAAGUAAUGAUCUCCAAGUAUAAGAUGGGUAAUAGCCUAAUUGAGCAUCCAUGAAGUUGAAAUCCUUAAAGUACCAUGCUUUCUUUCAUCGAGUGUUACAGUUGAGAAAAUUUUGCAUGCAACGGAAUACUGUUGAAAAUUUAUAUAUAAUAUUUAUUAGAUAUUGUAGUAUUUAAUUUCAAAAUAUUGAAUGAAAAUUAAUCUCGUUUAUUUUUAAGCGUUGCGUCUGAUGCAAAGAAUUGCAUCAUAUUAUUUGUAAUUUGAGAUGUGUAGUUUGAUGAGUGGUGUAGGUUACAUAGAUGCAAAGUUGCAUCUUUACACCAAACAACACAAUGGGUUCUAUAUAAACCCAUGAAACUAUUAUCAUUAAAUAUACAAAAUUAGAGUUAUUUUUUACUCUUGAGAAAUAGGGUUUCCCCAGUCUAUUUCUCUCAUUCUUCGUUUGUCAAAUUUCGAGUUGUGUCUUGAGAGUACGAAAUGUAUAAAGUUCGCCAAAGUACCGAACUACAAGCACAAGAGUAUGGGCGAAAUUCUGUCUUUAGGACGUUACAUUUAUGCAAGCCUCAAUCUCCAAGUUUGUCAGUUUUUCUAACUUUCUCUCUAGUUGUUUAUAUUAAUCUCAUAAUAAUUGAUGUUGUAAAAUUUUUUAUGAUUAUUAUCAUUGGAAUUAUAUUAUUAUUUUUCAUAUUUUCUAAUAUUGCUCCAACAUAUACAAGUUUAAGUCCUGUUCUCCUAAUCCUAUGGUCGGAGAAAAUUGUAGUUACCCAUUAUUUGAUAUUAAUUUAAUGUAGGUGAUUAUUUUUUUGUUGUUGUUGUUGUUGUUGUUUUUUCUUUAAUUUACUAUUGUCAAGAGGAGGGGGAAGAAUUCGAAACUAUUACAAUAAUUUAGGCGAUGAAAGAGUUUUGUACCCAAAUGCAUGGGUAGAAGUUCAACACCUGAUCUAUUAAGAUAUUGAACCUAGGAUUUUGUUGUACUUUCUUCUUCACUAUUUGAUUAAAUCGAAAAAUAAGUGACCAUAAUUUUCUUAAACCCUGAUUCUAAGAGAACGAGAUCGAUGAUUUUAGAUGUUUUUGUUUUCUAAUAAAAAUUGUUACUAGCAACGUCCUCUUCUUCUUACUCCUUUAGAAUAAUUGAUACUGAGUGAAGUCAAUCAAACAUAGAAAAUUGAGUGUGAAGUAGACGAACAGAGAGCAACUCAUGGUAAUUGUACACCUCAUUGUAGGAUCGGAACAAUAGGACGGUUAUGCUCAUUAUUCAAUUUGUUGAAGAGAUAAAAUUUAACUAAGGUAUAUCUAUUUUAUCAUUGGUUGAAUUGAUCAUCAGAAGAAGCAGGCCAAAAAUUAGGAUACAUUGUAGAAAAAU
rnacentral:lncRNA from 1 species